rnacentral:rRNA from 1 species
AUUGAACGCUGGCGGCAGGCUUAACACAUGCAAGUCGAGCGGGGUGAUGGUGCUUGCACUAUCACUUAGCGGCGGACGGGUGAGUAACGCUUAGGAAUCUGCCUAUUAGUGGGGGACAACAUCUCGAAAGGGAUGCUAAUACCGCAUACGUCCUACGGGAGAAAGCAGGGGAUCACUUGUGACCUUGCGCUAAUAGAUGAGCCUAAGUCGGAUUAGCUAGUUGGUGGGGUAAAGGCCUACCAAGGCGACGAUCUGUAGCGGGUCUGAGAGGAUGAUCUGCCACACUGGGACUGAGACACGGCCCAGACUCCUACGGGAGGCAGCAGUGGGGAAUAUUGGACAAUGGGGGGAACCCUGAUCCAGCCAUGCCGCGUGUGUGAAGAAGGCCUUAUGGUUGUAAAGCACUUUAAGCGAGGAGGAGGCUCUUUUGGUUAAUACCCAAGAUGAGUGGACGUUACUCGCAGAAUAAGCACCGGCUAACUCUGUGCCAGCAGCCGCGUAA